AUUUUAAAGGAUCUUCAAUGAAGCAUGACACAUUUUCCUAAUGUUAACUCUCUGCCUUCUGCUUUCAGGUUCAGUCACUAUCUAUAAUCACACACUUUCAGGAAUGGCUGACAUAGAAAAUAUCAGCAAGCUCACUGGAUUUUGUCCACAAUCCAAUGGGUAAUUUGGAUUUCUCACUGUGAUGAAACCUCAGGGUGUUUGCUAAAAUAAAAGGGAUUUUGCCUCAUGAAGUAGAGAAAGAGGUAUGUGAACAUAUUAGAUGUCACACAGUCAUGAAAAUGAGAUUGUUUACCUAGAAAAUGUGUUGUUAUUUCUACACAAUUCCUCAUCUAAAUGUUAGGCAAAAAGACCCUUUGUAAAGAACAGAAAAAUGAUAGUGUUUUAAAAAUAAACUUUCUGGGUUUUGGACUAAAUAUCCUUUAUUUGGUUAGGUACAACAAGUUGUACAGGACUUAGAAAUGGAAAAUAUUCAAGACGUCCUUGUUCAAAACUUAACUGGUGGACAAAAUAGGAAACUAACUUUUGGGAUUGCCGUUUUAGGAGAUCCUCAGGUUUUGCUAUUGGCUGAACCAGCUGCUGGACUGGAUCUUCUUUCAAGGCACCGAGUACGGAAUCUCCUGAAAGAGGGGAAAACAGACAGAGUAAUUCUCUUCAGCAUCCAGUUUAUGGGUGAGGCUGAUAUUCUGGCAGGUAAUUUUUUGUUUCUCUUACGUAUCUUAGUGAGAAAUUAGAGACAGUGUGGAAUAUUAACAGGUAUGCUCCGCAGCUGUAUCUCCCUGGAACUGCCAU
rnacentral:lncRNA from 1 species